rnacentral:lncRNA from 1 species
GAGAAACACUAAGACUCAGCAGAUAAGGAUGGAGGCGACUCAACAUCACACUGAGACAGAUAUGAGCCCUGCAUUUCUGAAUGCCUUGAAAGAAAAACCAGCAAGUUGGGAGGGCCGUGUCUCCUUAUCAUCUUCCAGGAAUUCAAAACCGUGAUUUCCAGUUUCCAAAUGCAACUCAAGCUCCAUCACCCUGUACAUCUUGCACGGUUUCUCCAGCAUAUCCUGAUCGCCACCUCCAGACCCUUCUGAUAGAUUCAUUACCUGAAUCUAUUUGAUCCUGAACUCCUGCUCUCCCUUGGCUCAACCUCAUCACAGCCAGAAAGGAUGAGAGCUCUUUAAUGAAGUGCAUACAUGUCAGUUUCCCAGGACACAAACCAAAGUAAAGAAGAAUGGAGCAUGCUCCUAUAAAGGAAAAUAAAAGGAGAUCCAUAAAGCAAAUCCAACUCAUGGACACUUACUAAACAUGCACUGUGUUCAUGUAAUGGCUCCAAGAAUCUUAGUGGACAUGGACGGAAGUACACACCUGGAGUGGACCUACAGAAGCUCAGAGUCAAAUGGCAGAAAGAUGAUAUGGGCAUUGAAUACAUUAAAUGAAAAUAAAAGUAAUAAAUCACAAGAGAAGAGAGUAACUGAGGGUGUCACUGGGCAGUACAUUAGCAAUUAAUUACCAGACACCUAUGCAGUUAAAAUGUACUGCUGGCCUUCAAAGGUGAAGGAAUCCAUGGCCUGGAAUGACCAUAAAAAAUUUAUUUUAACAAAAAGACAUGACUGUAGCCUUUUAGGGUAAAGAGAUUUUAACAUUUGAAGAGCAGAGAGACAGGUACAGCAUUGCAGGCUAGGAAAUGUGGGAGUUCAAAAUGGCAGACCAGGAGGAAGGCAAGUUGUGUUUGGGAAAAUUGACUUUAUGGUUAUUAGAAAGACCAUGUAAGCAAGCAGAGAUCAAUUGUGCUAGAAAUGUUUUUCAAAUUGAGCAUCUGGUGUGUGUUAGGCACUGCUCUCGGCACUGGGGAUACAGCUGUGAACAUGAUCAACAAGGACCCUGCAAUCAUGGAGAUUAAAUUAUAGUGAGGCAAACAGAAUAUAAAUAAAUAUACACAUUAGGUGAAAGCCAGACAGCUUCGGGUCUUAUGGAGAGAGUUACUGUUGGAGCAUGUACUAGAGAAUGACUAAAUGGUAACUAUAUGGGAUGGUCGAAGAUGACCUCAAUGAGGAAUCUCUACACUUAGAUAAGACCCAAAUAGCAAGAAUGGUUCUUGUUCUGUAUUAUAAUCAAGAGGAAGAGGAUUUCAGGCAGAGGGAAAAAUGGGAUCCAUGGGCUAAAACAGGUACUUGAAUGAUGUUUUUGAGGAAAUAAAUGAAGAUCAGGGUGGCUAGAGCAUUGUGAUGAAGGUUUACACCAGGUGCUGGCUGGUUUUUAUUCCUAGUGAGAGACAAUUGUUGCAUUUUCAGGGAUUUUGUAAGGCAAUUCAUAUAACGUUGGUAGCUUAUAAUUGACUAUGGUAGGAAUAUUCAUACCUGAGAAAUCGGCAAACACUGUGAAUCAGGACUCCCUCUUUGUCCCCAACCCUCAACUCCCAUUCAGAGAGCCUGUUUUUGAGUAUUUUCUUGCAUACCACAGAGUGAGUAUAAGAAGCAGCUGGAAUAGUAACUAGGAACCAAUCAUCUUAGGCUUUAUAAGGCAGAGAAAGGAAUUUUAAUUUUAGGUGUGUUGGGAAGCCAUUAGUGGGUCUUAUGUAGGAAAUGAAUAUGGUCUGAUUUACAUAUGUAAAGGAUAAUUCUGAGUAUGUUAUGGAACACUUUGUAAAUAGGUAAAAAGAGAAAUAGGAAAAUCAGCUAUUGCAUUAGACUCAGUUAGAAGUGGCAGUGGUUUUGCUAGGGGUUAUAUAAAAGGAAGAAAACUUAAUAAUGUUAGGCCUGACUAUAGGUAGAAUCUAUAGUUUUUACUCAUGAAUUGGAUGUAAGAAUUGAGGAGAAACGAAGAACCAAGUAAAAAUUUUGAGCUUUGGCUUGGGAAACUAGGUAUAUGGUAACGCCAAAAAGAGAGAUGUAGAGAAUUGAUGUAGGAGCAAAGCUGGGCUGGGAAAUUGAGAAAAUUAUACCUGCCUUGUUAAAGUUGAAACACCCACAUGACACUCACCUGGAAGGAUAUUCACACUUGGAUUGUUGGGGAAUAAUAAGAACUAGAGAUACAGUUUGAGGGUCACUGGCAUAGAGAUAGUAAUUAAAACCAGGAUGUCAGUUAUAUCACCUAGGGAUAAUGCAAAGAGAGAGAAAAGCAGGAGAUAAGACAGAUCGAGCAGUGGGAGAAGCCGGCAUUGAAGAAUGAAGAGGAAAACCAGGCGUGUCUAGUGCCAUGAUGCCAAGAGAAAAACCCAGCUCCGAGAAGACAGGAGUUUGUUUGCUAAUGUUAUUGAGGGAUAAAGUAAAAUACGAAGAGAGAAGUAACUUGGACUGGCGGCAAAGCGAUCACCAGUGCUCCUUCUAACUGUGGUGUCGAUAAAGUAAUGUGGACUGGAUGAAGGAGCCUCGUUGGAAUAAACUCAUAUAGGAAUGAUGAUACCGUGUUUACCUACUAAUGGGAAUGACCCUAUUGAAGAGGGAACAUCACGUAUGUUGGGGAGCGGAAAAGUCAAAGUCCUCGAAAAGGCUCCAAGGAUAUAAAGGAUAAGACACAAGGGCCAACACUAAGAGACAAAAUUAAAGCCCUAAGGAGACACUGAAAGAGGCUAAUUGUUUCUACUGCAGCUUUCAUAGUCAGACAUCUCGGAUUCAAUCUUUGCUCUACCAUUUACUAGCAAUGUGACUUUAGGCAAAUUUCUUCAUCUUGCUAAACCUUUGGUUUUUCACCUGUAAAAUGAGGAUAACUAAAAAUGCCUAAUAGGGUUAUUUUUCAGUUUAAAUGAGAUAAUAUGGUUACAAUUCUUAGUAUAGUUCUUGGUUUACAACUGAGUCAAUAAAUGAUACAACUCUUUUAUUAUAAUGAAGCAU